GGUAUUUUUCCUUAACUUCCAUCCCCUGGAUUGCCGAUGAGUUGUCUGACUCCCAACAUUGUGUUGAGAUGUGGUCGUCUACCUGCUGGGCUGAAUGUAGCUCAUCCCUGUUUGGAAAUCUGCACGGAUACCUCUGACCAAUGCACUCCUGUCUCCUGGAUAAAGAAGUCACCCUCCAGGAGCUGCAGGCUCCUCCUUCCCACAUCUGAUCCUCACAAUUUAGUAACUCCUCCCUGUAGAAAAAGUUCACCUGAGGUCUCUGGAGGAAGGAAGAGAAAAAAGAAAUGACAUUGAAGCACAAAAUCAGUGUACUCAGCUGAGCCAUCUCUGGGGUCACUUAG
rnacentral:lncRNA from 1 species